GAUGAACGCUGGCGGCGUGCCUAAUACAUGCAAGUCGAGCGAACGGACGAGAAGCUUGCUUCUCUGAUGUUAGCGGCGGACGGGUGAGUAACACGUGCAUAACCUACCUCUAAGACUGGGAUAACUUCGGGAAACCGCAUCUACUACCGGAUAAUAUUUUCAACCGCAUGGUUCAAAAGUGAAACACGGUCUUGCUGUCACUUAUAGCUGGAUCCGCGCUGCAUUAGCUAGUUGGUAAGGUAACGGCUUACCAAGGCAACGAUGCAUAGCCGACCUGAGAGGGUGAUCGGCCACACUGGAACUGAGACACGGUCCAGACUCCUACGGGAGGCAGCAGUAGGGAAUCUUCCGCAAAGGGCGAAAGCCUGACCGAGCAACACCGCGUGAGUGAUGAAGGUCUUCGGAUCGUAAAACUCUGUUAUUAGGGAAGAACAGAUGUGUAAGUAACUGUGCACAUCUUGACGGUACCUAAUCAGAAAGCCACGGCUAACUACGUG
rnacentral:rRNA from 1 species